UAAAAAGUGUUGUCUGCUCCAGUUCUCAUAUUUUGUGUUGACUGCUACCUUUCCCCCCUGAUAUUUGAGGUUGUUGUGAGAAUAGCAAUCUGCCAGGAUUGCAGCUUUUGGCGCACUUUUAGAGCCUUAUUAUUUUAACUAGUUCCUGGAAGUAUUUCCAUGUUUGUAGUAACCACAGUGACCAGAUUAACAGACACCAUGGGUGAGAGAUGAGAGACAUGUAUACAGUGAGAACACUCAGUUCCAUAAACUUUGUGUUGCUUCGUGCUUCGUGCUUCGUGCUUCAUGUUGAUUCAUGAUUUAUCUGUAUAGAAACGAAGAGAGUAAACUAUGGAAAACAGCUUUUGUUAGUUAUACACACUAGGACAUAAAACGAACCUCGACCGGCCUGGUCUUAUACUCACUAUAACUAUAUGACCUUAAUAAAGGUCAGGGUAAAGGCCAGACCAUUAUAAUGGCGCCCAACGUGAUUUAUUGUGAAAAGUGUGUUUUUCAUAUGGAUUAGAUAGAGUGAAAUUUGUGUGGACUACAGAUCAACUGCCACUGUUGUAAACAUAACUAUACAUUUAAACCUGCAGAUAUCAGGAUUUAACCAAUACACAAUUUGACAAACAUGCCAUGCAUGGAAUUUAAAUUUGGAUUUACAUGUUAAUGGAUCUAUUGGACAUUCGUUGAGAUGCAACAUACCGAGGAAGCCAGCACAUUCCCGAGAUUGACCCAUGUGUACGUUGGAACUUGGAUGGAUAUUUGGAAUGACAAGGAUGACAUUCAGGGAAGCAGGGACCAAACCAGGAUACACCGGACAUGUUGAACAUUUGUUGUGUGAAAUGUCAUGUAGUGACACUUGUGUUUAGUGGCCAUUGUGAGAGAGUUGCUGUGUUUCUGGUUUUGGAUUUUGUGAGUACCAUAUUUUGCCUAAAAUGCUUAGAACUUGCAAUUUAAUUUCUAUUUUGCAUUUUAAAUAAAUAACAAAUUGCAGAUUCUAGUAUUUUAUAUGAUUUCUGUGAGAUUUAGUUUCUGUAAAGUAAGAGAGAGAUUUCACUUGCAUGAAUAAUAAUCUGGUAAAGGUAUUUAAUUACUAAUUAAUCCCUUCCUCAUAAGUGCAUUUUAAUAUUUUAAAUAUUCACCACAAAUGUUACUCAU